UCUGUGACUUGGCGAGCGAACCUUACUGAACCAAAUGCUUCAAAGGGUUCAGACUGAGGUUCAAAAGGCUUCACUUUUCACUUCACUAGUUUUUAGACGUCAUUUCAGAGAAUAAUGGCGCUGUCUUUGUGUUAAAAUGUGCUGUACAAACGUAGGACAAGCAGGCGUACUGAGUUAGUCUUAUCCUUCACAGUACUUGGUUAAUCCACUUGAACAGGAUCGUCACGAAUCUGAUUUGGUACACUGCAAUCAGGAUCUUGUUUAGUCCGAUUUAGCGGAUGAUCCACCUGUGGUGAUUAUCUUCUGGUACACUGGAAUCGGGAUUAACAAGUGUUAUUUAAAUCCUUGCUCACCAUUUGAUUCUGGUGAUGACUCACUGUUCUACAUGAUGACCUUGUACGCUGUACGCAUGAUAUCCUUGUGUAUAACCUGUAGUGUCAGGGAGGAAAGGUCUAUCAGCUAGCAAGGUAAUCAGGUUUUUAUUGUGAAUAUAAACAGGCCAUAACUUGCUUUUUGUCUUUAACUAAGGUAAUGUGGCUUUACUGUUUUCCACAAAAUAAAAAAUGAAACUGGUUUUACCAGUUUCUCUGAAAUGUAAGGAAGUAAAAGUUGAAAAUAAUAAUAAAAACAAAAAAUAAUACAGUGUUCCAUUGUAACAACAGCCUCUAUAAGCCACCACCUCAGUUGAAACCGGCACAUUUUCUAAUUGGUGUUACCUGGCGUCUUAAAGUGGGGAUUGUAAAAAUACAACACAAACCAACAUAAAUUUGCAGUGGUGUGGCUCACUAAUUAAUAGAUGAAGGAACAUUUGAAUAUUGAUGGCUCAUUGCAGCUCACUGAUAGAGAUAUGCUUGCGGCAUAGUAUACAUAUAAGUAUUGCUAUUGCUUAUGCUUCAUUUUAAUGUUUUCUAACAGGAAGAUAAAAGUCAUCCGUAUCUACCAUCAAGCCCCACAAAUAGAAGGAAGGAUGUUAGCCAGAAACCCUUAGGAUACCCACUAUGGUGACACACAUUUCUCCAGCUACCUCAACGACUGCUGGAACUGGAAGAGUUUUCCAAAGACCAGGUUCGCCUCUGAAUAUGGUUUCCAGUCCUGGCCGCCUUUUUCAGCUUUACAAAAGGUCCCAGGCAGCGUGAUGUCUCGGCCAAUCAGGGGUUUUACGAGCUCCCCUUACAGAAGCCUCAGAUGCUGGAAUACGGUGGGGAGUGGAAGAUGCUGCAUUAUUUUGCACAGAACUUCUUUGCUCCAGUCCUUCUGGUGGAGUUUGAAGAUAGAGAAACACUUAUUAUCUAUGGAGUGUCUGACUUGCAGAAUUACCUCACACUCAAACUCCUGCAGGUUAAAGCAUACCAGUGGAGCAGUAUGGAACCUGUGUGUCAGUGUCACAGAUGGAGUGGUGAUCAAAGCUGGGAGCGCUAGCCCAGUCUACAAAGAUCCUUGAAUGAUCUGCUGAAACGAUGCAGGAACUGUACCCGACUGAACUGCGUCGUCUCCUCUCUGUGAAGGGAAACGGGCAACAGUGUGGACCUGACAACUAUCUUUCUCUCUCCUCACUCAAAGAUGCAGAAGGGCUGAAGAAACCACAGCUCUCUGUAAUUUCCGGAUGUAACUAUCACUGACACUGUUAUGUGCUCCGAUAUUGAAUCGUAUUUUGUCAUAUACUUGUACUUGCUAGAACUGAAGUCAUUGUAUUUUAUCUUUCUCUUAAUUGUAUUAAUACUUGUACUGUGAUUCUUGAAAUGUAUUUUUUGUUUACGACUGUAAGUCGCCCUGGGUAAGGGCGUCUGCUAAUAAAUGCUAAUAAUAAUAAUAAUAAUAAUAAUAAUAAUAAUAAUAAUAAUAAUAAUAAUUAUUAUUUCUGGA